AAUGCCAGCUGGCACUUCUCAAAAAUCAUGAAACUUCUCGAUAAAAUGUCGAAAUCCAAGAAAAAGCAAGUACCGCUUCCAACGAGACCGCCUCCACCAUCCGUAGAUAUGAUUCUGAAAGACAUGGAGAUGGCCCCGAAAGAUGAUGUAGCUUUCACAACCUUCAAAACCUGCGAAAUGGGAGAUACUGAUUUAGAGGCCAAUCCAAUUGCAGCAGCUUACAACAAACCAUCCUUAGCAGGAGUUCCAUCUGAAAAUAGUCUCAACGAAGAAGGAAACUUGACUAACUCUGUUAACACAGUUUAUAAAAAAGUCUGUCAGUUUCUGGAUAAUUGUGAAUAUCUCAAAAAGGCGCCAGAGUCUUUGAGAGAUCAGUGUCGCACUAUGGAAAGUGUUGCUGGGGACUUGGAAAAAACUGUGUCCUCCUUGCAGGAUGAAGCUCUUUCGAGUUUAGAUGCAUCAUGAUGUUUGUUGUUGACUUAAUGAUCAAGGACUUUUAUGACUAAGUGCCAAUAAUAAAAAUAUAAAGAGAGGAUCCUGAUAUGAAGGAAGUGUGAGGGGUAAAUUCAUACCUGGCCUCCAGGCACUGAAACAAAGACUCAGUUUCUCUAGGUGAAAUGUUGAAGUGUCGCUAAGUUCCAUAAGCCAUUCAUGGGUCCUGGUAUUGUCAUGUUUAUUGUUAAGUUACUAUUUGAUUCAAAGUUAUAAAAAAAUGUUUGGCCUGAGAAUCGGCAGCGAAUAUGGCAAUGUAGAACAACGUAGUAAGGAUUUCUAUAAACCCUUGGCAAGUAAAAUAUUUCCAUCUUUCAGUCAGUUGAUGAUGAAUAAAUGCCUAGCAAGCACUAACAAAGUUCACAGUAUUCCUGUCUAGAGGGAGGACUAGAAUGUCUGUUCCAUCCUCUACACCAUGGUAAACUAAGCUAGUGCUGGCCUGGCAUCAUCACCAGGUGAGCCAAGGUUUUGUUUUGCAAGAUUGGUUUGGGACUGAAAUUUGAUUGAUGAUUCAGACUGUUAGAUUACAUUUUUAAAUCUUUUUCAAAUUCUAAAUUUCUGGUCUACUUUUCAUUCUCAAAAGAACCAUUAGAGUUGCGGUGUUGAUAAACUAGAUGACUGCUGGUGUUCCAUUAAUGCCCACAUCCUCCAUUUACAACAGAUGGAACAGGUUUUUGGGUUAUUUGGGAUUGAAAGAUUGAAAGAUUCUUGGUCACAUUUGAAGUAUUGUCAAAAUGACAUUAAUAAAGUUGUUCUCUGAUGAA